rnacentral:lncRNA from 1 species
AUUAGGCCAAGGGAGUUGCAACCUUUAUUUUUCUUCAAAGAAAUUUUAUCAAUUACCAAACAUGAGCCCUCUCUCUUAUUCCCGGGGAGUGAGAACAGGAGGGGAAAAAUGGCAUUGACAGAUGCGGUGUCAACUAAUGAGGGAUGAGCCCAGCUGUCACACUUUCAAAAAUACAUCUUCUUCUUGGCUGUAAAUUCUGCAAUGCAAGACCAGGCACUGGGACGUGGGCUAUCUCUUAAUUAAUUCUUAAUAGAGCCAAAUCAUCUUUUUCCUCUAAAAUAUGAAAUGAGGACAAGAGCUUGACAGGUUUUUAUAAGACUGAUGUCACAAUCUAAAAAUGAUUCAUUCUGGAAGGCAUAAAAUAGUUCUUGCUUUAUAAAAAUAGUAUCAUGAUUUUAAAAAAACUGCACUUCUACCAAAGGAAACAUGUUCCAACACUGCAAAAGAGGUGUUCCACUUAAAGCAGAACAAGAUACACUCCCCCCGUCCAUCUUUUCCUCUCCCGUUCCCCUCCCAACCAGAGUCAAGUCACUCCCGGCACACUCUUCUGGGUGGUAGAGAUGCCAGGGCCACCUAAGGCCAGGAGACUUGGGGGGCCGUGCAGGGUUAAGCACGCCAGGACUGAAAAGCAAAGGGUCAGCUGUCUUCAUGUAGGAUCUCUGGAUGUUCCUUCCAGAAAGCAUCCCCGAUGAUAUCACAAUAUAAGGGCACUGGCUUAGUCCUGGUCCGGAUCACUGCCAUCUUUUUUCCUUCCAUUUCUGCUGGCAGCUUAACUUCUUUUGUUGUGACUUCACCCACCUACGAGAAAAAGUUAAAAUAUUGACACUGUUAACUAGAGUCGGUUUGGGAGAGAAGGAGAUGUGCGGGAAGUUCACAUUUUUACUUCAUAUACUUCUGAUUAAUACAUAUUUAUCAGGUAGAUGCACACACAUAUCUCAACAUGAACUUAUUUACAAUUAAAAAUACUUUUCAAAGUUAUGUUGCUAUAUUCUGAAAGGAGAUCUUAGGAACAAAGGAAGGAUUCAAGGAUCCUUGUUAGCAAUAACUAUAGAAAUUAAGAGUAUUUCUGCUCUCCCACUUGCAUUAUGUAAGUCUGUGCCAAGU